rnacentral:misc_RNA from 1 species
UAAUCAUUUAUACCGAAUGAAUGUUGCUGGGAAUUAUUUGCUGAUGCUUUAGUAUCAGCCCACCCACAAAUGUGGCUGCUGCAUUUUUUGUUAAUGCAUCACAAUCAAGCAUCAAUUUUUCGCCAAACAUAUUACUUUCACGACUCAAUAUGUGUGUGAUAUAAGCUGCUUUGAAUGCUCUACCGAAGAGAUCCGGGGCUGAACGUUUCUCAGUAUUUGUCACUAGACUAUAAACACUACUAUAUUGAUCACUGUGCAACUUUCCAUCAGCAGAAAAUCCCUUUGUGCGUGGAUCUGCAAUUUGUCCAAAUAUUUUCCUUUUUGAGUCGCCAGGAUGGCUAGCCUCAUACUAAAUAGCCCCAACAUGUUGAA